rnacentral:rRNA from 1 species
UACGGGGGGGGCAAGCGUUGUUCGGAAUUACUGGGCGUAAAGGGCGCGUAGGCGGCCUGCUAAGUCGGACGUGAAAUCCCUCGGCUCAACCGGGGAACUGCGUCCGAUACUGGUGGGCUCGAAUCCGGGAGAGGGAUGUGGAAUUCCAGGGUGUAGCGGUGAAAUGCGUAGAUAUCUGGAGGAACACCGGUGGCGAAGGCGACAUCCUGGACCGGUAUUGACGCUGAGGCGCGAAAGCCAGGGGAGCAAACAGG